rnacentral:lncRNA from 1 species
CUCGGAUAUUGGUUCUAUCAGAGUAUCGGUUUCUCAUCUGUCCAAGUAGGAGUGAGGGUAGGGAUAGGAAGCCAAGAACUAUGAGACAUCUGAGGAAACCCGACUGUUGCAAGAGGAACACAGAUGAGCACUUUGGAAGCUAAGCCCAGAGGAAAGGAUCUAUGCUGCUGGAGCAAGCACUCACAAAAUUCUAGAGGGAAGAUACUGCUCACAUGGAACAGUGCUGAGGAGAGAGACGUUUGGAUGCACAGUUGUUGAUUAAGUUUUAAUGCCCCAUGUGGAAAACAAAGUAUCAAUCUGUAAUCGACCCCAAACGAGGAAAAUGCGGCAAGUAUUGGGGAAGAAUAAGCUGGCACAAAUAUGAACUGAAAAAUUCAUACUGUGCAAAAAAAAGUACUUAAACCUAGGGCGAAAAAAAAAAUCAAACCUUGGCUUCCCUAACCAACAGGAAAUAAUACAGAAGGCUAGGAGAGGCGGAUCAGUGGGUAGAGCAAGGAGCUCUACCCACUGACAGCCUGAGUUCCAUCCCUAGCAUCCAUGUAAAGAUAGAGAUGUCUUCCAAUCUUCCGCAAGCCCAGAGCUGCUGCACACGUACAAAAUAAUAGUAAACAUGAUCAAUAUUUCGUAAAAU